UGAGGAAUAUUGGUCAAUGGACGAGAGUCUGAACCAGCCAAGUCGCGUGAAGGACGACGGCCCUAUGGGUUGUAAACUUCUUUUAAUUGAGAAUAAAGCUCGGGAUGUAUCCCGAUUUGCAAGUAUCAAAAGAAUAAGCAUCGGCUAACUCCGUGCCAGCAGCCGCGGUAAUACGGAGGAUGCGAGCGUUAUCCGGAUUUACUGGGUGUAAAGGGUGAGUAGGCGGCAUAGUAAGUCAUAUGUGAAAGCCCGCAGCUUAACUGCGGAGUUGCAUAAGAAACUAUUGAGCUAGAGUGCAGGAGAGGCAAGCGGAAUUCCUAGUGUAGCGGUGAAAUGCGUAGAUAUUAGGAAGAACACCAGUGGCGAAGGCGGCUUGCUGGACUGUAACUGACGCUGAGUCACGAAAGCGUGGGGAGCGAACA
rnacentral:rRNA from 1 species